rnacentral:sRNA from 1 species
AAAAUUCCCGUCAGGGGAAGGUGAGAACCUUCGACCAAGGUUCGACAAAACCGGCACGGUUUUGAGCAACGCGCAGCGUUGACCCGCAGGGUGAGUUAUCCUUCCCCCACCACCA